UACGGAGGGUGCAAGCGUUAUCCGGAUUCACUGGGUUUAAAGGGUGCGUAGGUGGAGUGGUAAGUCAGUGGUGAAAUCUCCAAGCUUAACUUGGAAACUGCCGUUGAUACUAUCAUUCUUGAAUAUCGUGGAGGUAAGCGGAAUAUGUCAUGUAGCGGUGAAAUGCUUAGAUAUGACAUAGAACACCGAUUGCGAAGGCAGCUUGCUACACGAUCAUUGACACUGAGGCACGAAAGCGUGGGUAGCGAAUGGG
rnacentral:rRNA from 1 species